rnacentral:rRNA from 1 species
AUUGAACGCUGGCGGCAGGCCUAACACAUGCAAGUCGAACGAGUGGCGGACGGGUGAGUAAUGUCUGGGAAACUGCCCGAUGGAGGGGGAUAACUACUGGAAACGGUAGCUAAUACCGCAUACCAUCGGAUGUGCCCAGAUGGGAUUGGCUAGUAGGUGGGGUAACGGCUCACCUAGGCGCCGAUCCCUAGCUGGUCUGAGAGGAUGACCGGCCAAACGGGAACGGAGACACGGUCCAGACCCCAACGGGAGGAAGCAUGGGGAAAUAUUGCACAAUGGGGGAAAUCCUAAUGCAGCCAUGCCGCGUGGAUGAAGAGGGCCUUCGGGUUGAAAAGUACUUUCAGCGAGGAGGCGUUACUCGCAGAAGAAGCACCGGCUAACUCCGUGCCAGCAGCCGCGGUAAUAC